rnacentral:lncRNA from 1 species
CGGCACAGUAGAGAUGUCACACCAGUGCAGCUGUAUUUACUUUUAGAGAACAAUCUAGAAGGUGCAGAAAAGGUUUGGGAUAACAGAAGACUUCCAAAUGAUAUGAAAGUAUAAACUACUCCAUCCUCCUCUAUAGUGUGUAGCAGUGGCAUGUGGGUCUGUAUCACUGUGAAAUGCUGAAGACUUUAACUAUAGCAUUAACCAUCAGGACACGAGUCCACACGCGCAGAAGAAUUUGAACAAGGUGAAUCCGAAAGCUCAGAGGUCACAGUGAUGUAUUUUUGGCCCUUCAUAGCAGGAGGAGCAACUAUUAUUAUUUUUCUUCUUGUGGUCAUGACAUGUUGCAUUGUGUAUAAACGAAAAAAAACAUCAGAUCAACCAUAUUAUGCAAACAGCCAGCAGGUUCGAGAUGCCAGACAAGAUCAAAUCAUCUAUGGUAGGUUUAAUGAGUAUUUCUUGUUUUACACAAAUAGUAGGUU